rnacentral:rRNA from 1 species
GACGAACGCUGGCGGCGUGCUUAACACAUGCAAGUCGAACGGAAAGGCCCUGCAUUUUUGGUGGGCUCGAAUGGCGAACGGAUGAGUGACACGUGAGUAACCUGCCCUUGACUUUCUGCUAACUACAAGAAACUAGGGCUAAUAAAGGAUAGGUGAUCCUGCUGCAAAGUGAGGGGUGGAAAGUUGCGGAGGUCGGGGAUGGAGGCGCGGGUUAUCAGCCUGUUGGUGGGUUAGUGGUUUACUAAGGCACUGGAGGGUAGGCGGCCGGACAGGGUGAGAGGCCACAUAGAGACUGAGAUACGGCCCAGACUCCUACGUGAGGCAGCAAUGGGGGAUAGUGCAUGAUGGGCGGGAGCCUGAUGCAGCAACGCCGCGUGCGUGAUGAAGGCCGUCGGUUUGUAAACCACGUUCGCCUGUGGCGAAGGGUGAGUGACGGUAAUGGGUGAAGAAGCCCCGGCUAACUACGUG